AAAGUCGUAACAAGGUCUCCGUUGGUGAACCAGCGGAGGGAUCAUUAAAGAGUUCACUACUCUCCCGACCACCGAGAACCGCCCGAGGAACGACUGUUGCCUCGGCGGGAGGCUCCUAGGAGGUGCCGCUGCCCGCGAGGGCGCCCGCCGGGGACGACGCAGACUCUUGUUUUGUAGGCCUCUCUGAGCAAAAACGCAAUAGUUAAAACUUUCAACAACGGAUCUCUUGGCUCUG
rnacentral:misc_RNA from 1 species